AGAAUCAACGCUGGCGGCGUGCCUAACACAUGCAAGUCGCACGAGAAAGGGUAGCAAUACCUGAGUACAAUGGCGCACGGGUGAGUAACACGUGAAUAAUCUACCUCCGAGUGGGGAAUAACUGAGAGAAAUCUUAGCUAAUACCGCAUAAUACCCACGGGUCAAAGCAGCAAUGCGCUUGGAGAGGAGUUCGCGGCAGAUUAGUUAGUUGGCGGGGUAAUGGCCCACCAAGACGAUGAUCUGUAUCCGGCCUGAGAGGGCGCACGGACACACUGGAACUGAAACACGGUCCAGACUCCUACGGGAGGCAGCAGUGGGGAAUUUUGCGCAAUGGGGGAAACCCUGACGCAGCAACGCCGCGUGGAGGAUGAAGCCCCUUGGGGUGUAAACUCCUUUCGAUCGGGAAGAUAAUGACGGUACCGAUAUAAGAGCCCCGGCUAACUUCGUGCCAGCAGCCGC
rnacentral:rRNA from 1 species